CAGUCUUUAGCUUAUUACGAUUAAAAUGUGUUAACUAAGAGUAGUUCUAUUUUAAUUAAAAUGCUACCUGCACUCCGCUAUUUACAAGUAUUCCUUUUGAAAAGAUGGGCUAAGGUCCCUUUGUCAAGCAGAGAGACUUAGUGGCGUAAAUAUAGCUCCAAAAAGGGCCAUUGAAAUAGCUAACAAAGGAUAAAUGGAACGAUUCCGAUCCACGGUUUAGCUCUUAAUGUUUU